AUUUUUGUAUUUUGAACAACGUAGAGCCACCUCUGACAUAGAAUUGCACAUUCACUGCAAGCACUGGUAUGCUGAUAUAAACGGGAAGAUAUCAUAAGAACCAAUUUGAGGUCAGUAUUGUGAAGGUAUUUACGAGUUUGAACUUCAACGCCUCUACACCAUAAUAAACUUUUGGUGACUCAAACUUGUACUAUCUUAGCCGGUGAAGAGGUUUUAAUGAUACGAUUAAAAGGAAUGAUACAAUUUUCCUCAAUAUUGAUGUAUGCCCCUACGCUGAAAUGCAGUUUCCGCAAUGCAGGAUGAAAGAUAUAUUUUUCACUUACCCACAACUACACACAACAACUUAUAGGUUUAAUUAUGUAGAAAAUGUGGAGGAAGUUAGAGCUGAAUAAAUUAUAAGGAAGUA